CCCUUAGGCGUUCUGGGCCGCACGCGCGCUACACUGACGAAGGCAACGAGCUUUCCUUUACCGAAAGGUACGGGUAAUCUUUUGAAACUUCGUCGUGCUGGGGAUAGAUCCUUGCAAUUUUUGAUCUUAAACGAGGAAUUCCUAGUAAGCGCAAGUCAUCAACUUGCGUUGAUUACGUCCCUGCCCUUUGUACACACCGCCCGUCGCUACUACCGAUUGAAUGGUUUAGUGAGGCCUUCGGAUCCGCGACUCGUUUUGUGGAGAAGUUGGACAAACUCAGUCAUUUAGAGGAAGUAAAAGUCGUAACA
rnacentral:rRNA from 1 species